rnacentral:tRNA from 1 species
UCCCUGGUGGCCUAGUGGUUAGGAUUUGGUGCUGUCACUGCCAUGACCCAGGUUCGAUCCCUGGUCAGGGAA